rnacentral:rRNA from 1 species
UACGUAGGGCGCAAGCGUUGUCCGGAAUUAUUGGGCGUAAAGAGCUCGUAGGCGGUUUGUCGCGUCUGCUGUGAAAACUCGAGGCUCAACCUCGGGCUUGCAGUGGGUACGGGCAGACUAGAGUGCGGUAGGGGUGACUGGAAUUCCUGGUGUAGCGGUGGAAUGCGCAGAUAUCAGGAGGAACACCGAUGGCGAAGGCAGGUCACUGGGCCGCAACUGACGCUCAUGCACGACAGCGUGGGGAUCAAACAGG